rnacentral:piRNA from 1 species
UGCUAUUUAGAAACAAUAGAAAUAAUGUUGC